UACGUAGGGGGCAAGCGUUGUCCGGAAUUACUGGGCGUAAAGAGCUCGUAGGUGGUUUGUCACGUCGUCUGUGAAAUUCCGGGGCUUAACCUCGGGCGUGCAGGCGAUACGGGCAAUACUUGAGUGCUGUAGGGGAGACUGGAAUUCCUGGUGGAGUGGUAAAAUGCGCAGAGAUCAGGAGGAACACCGGUGGCGAAGGCGGCUUUCUGGCUGACAACUGACGCUGAGGCGCGAAAGCGUGGGGAGCAAACAGGAUUAGAUACCCGCGUAGU
rnacentral:rRNA from 1 species